GAUCAUGGCUCAGGACGAACGCUGGCGGCGUGCCUAAUACAUGCAAGUAGAACGCUGAAGAGAGGAGCUUGCUCUUCUUGGAUGAGUUGCGAACGGGUGAGUAACGCGUAGGUAACCUGCCUUGUAGCAGGGGAUAACUAUUGGAAACGAUAGCUAAUACCGCAUAACAAUGGGUGACACAUGUCAUUUAUUUGAAAGGGGCAAAUGCUCCACUACAAGAUGG
rnacentral:rRNA from 1 species